UACGUAGGGUGCGAGCGUUAAUCGGAAUUACUGGGCGUAAAGCGUGCGCAGGCGGUUUGCUAAGACCGAUGUGAAAUCCCCCGGGCUUAACCUGGGAACUGCAUUGGUGACUGGCAGGCUAGAGUAUGGCAGAGGGGGGUGGAAUUCCGCGUGUAGCAGUGAAAUGCGUAGAGAUGCGGAGGAACACCGAUGGCGAAGGCAGCCCCCUGGGCUGACACUGACGCUGAGGCACGAAAGCGUGGGGAGCAAACAGG
rnacentral:rRNA from 1 species